rnacentral:rRNA from 1 species
AACCAGCCCCUGAGUGGUAAGGACGAUUAUUUGGCCUAAAGCGUCCGUAGCCGGCCCGGCAAGUCCCCCGUGAAAUCCGGCGACUCGAUCGUCGGGCGUGCGGGGGAUACUACGGGGCUUGGGGACGGGAGAGGUCGACGGUACUCCAGGGGUAGGGGUGAAAUCCUAUAAUCCUUGGAGGACCACCAGUGGCGAAGGCGGUCGACUAGAACGUGCCUGACGGUGAGGGACGAAAGCUGGGGGAGCGAACCGGAUUAGAUACCCGGGUAGUCCCAGCUGUAAACGAUGCGGGCUAGGUGUUGGGGUAGCUACGAGCUACUCCAGUGCCGCAGAGAAGUUGUUAAGCCCGCCGCCUGGGGAGUACGGCCGCAAGGCUGAAACUUAAAGGAAUUGGCGGGGGAGCACCACAAGGGGUGAAGGCUGCGGUUU